UCUUGUGCAGUGCGUGGAGGGGCUUGCAUAGAAUCAUAGAAUAAUUUGGGUCAGAAGGGACUUCUAAAGGUCAUUAUUUAAUGUAGGCUGGAUCUGAGCUUUACAGCUCAAUAGCAGGUUCUUAUUUUUAUUCCUAUAGCCUUAGUAGUCUAUAAAUACCAUGCCUAUUUAUUUUGACCAUUUGGGCUUUAAAAGCCUGUUGGAAACAUUCCUUGCCAAUUUGCUGUGGAAAUAGGAAGAAGGAAGGGAAGCUGAUGGAUCUACAUACAACACAUGCUGGAAGCUGGCAAAUGUUGUCCCAGUUUUCAAGAAGAGCAAGAGGAAUGACCCUAAUAACAAACUCAGGAGGAGCUGUUGAUUCCCUCAAAACCAGAGAGAUUUUGAUGAAAUAGAGGGCUGGAAAAACACCAAUCAUAUGAAGUUCAACAACAGCAAGUGAUGGGUUCUGCACAUGGGAUGGGAGAACCCUGGAUGUAUGGACAGCCUGGGACCAGUGCUCCAGAAAGGGACCUAUGGGUCCUGAUUGAUGGAAAGUUGAAUGUGAGUCAGCAGUGCCCUGGCAGCCCUAGGAAGGUCAUCCCUGUCCUGGGGCCAUCAGGCACCACAAUUCAAGAAGGAUAUUAAGCUGUUAGAGAGCAUUCAAAGGAUGGUGAAGCAUCUGUAGGGGAAGUAUUAACUAGGACUAGUUGAAGUCACUUGGCUUAUUCAGCUUGGAGAAGAGGAGACUGAGGAUAGUCCUCAUCACAAACUACAGCUUUCUCAAAAGGGGAAAUGGAGGUACAGCACCAGUGUAUUUCUUCUGGCGACCAGUUACAGCAUUCAAGGGAAUUACAUGAGGCCAACUCAGGAUAUUCUAUGAUUCUGUGAAUCUAAGCUUUGCUGGCUCCUGUACUCUCAGAAAGGAAGAUUAUUUGGGAUGCAGCAGGGCUUCUUCAUGAAAGUCACUAAUGCCUUUUCUUCUUCCUUGUCUCUGGCUGGGACCACCCUCUACUGGUGAGUGUGACUCGGGUGUUGUGUCCUCAGGGAGGGAAGGAGGAGCCCUUCCCACCAUAUUUCCCUACGUGCAAAGGAUGGACUCAGAGUUUUGGAUCUCUGGGAUCAGCAGAGGGAGUGCAAGAGCAAGGAAAAGAGAAAUGCACACGCUGAAUGUGCCGGGGUUUGAUCUGAGGUGCUCCAUGAGCCUGGCUCAGGGAUGAAUGAGCCCUCUGGAAAAGAGAUCCUUCUGCUGAGUGAGUCUUUCCUCAUUUUCGCACAAAAAAGGGACAUCAGACAUUCUCAGUAAUCUUUCUUCUCCUGGUGGAUAUGAGAAAAUCUCCUGAUUACAUUACAGCAGCAGCACAAAAAAGCAAAUCAAAGCUGUGGUGCCUGGAGGUUUGGUUAACCACACUGGGGGCAUCCACCUGAGCCAGGAAGGCAGGAGAUGUGGAGGAGCCUUGUGACAUUCCAGUGCCCAGGUGACCAGCCAUGGCCCAUCCCUGACAUCCACAAGCCACGUGAGUUGUUACUCCCUCUCUGAGGGCCAGACCUGUUUUACAGCUCUCACAUUUCCUACCAGCACAGGGUGGUGAAGGUUAUCAACGAUGAUUGUUUGAUGUGUUUAAUUAGCCUGCAGUUAAUUAUAUAAUAUUUCUUUAUAAACUCAUGAAAGAGAGCUGCCAGCAUGGCUGAUGCACUUAUUCACAUGGCCUGCCUGGGAGAUAGCCAAGUUGGCCUUGUUCAAGUGUUUUAGGCUUGGCUCAGGAACAGUCCACGCCAGCUGGAGUUACAAAGACCUGUUCCCAGGUGUUCUCUUUUGUUCUAUUUAAUCUGUUUUAUUCUAUUUAGCCUUUUAUUUGUCCUUGAUGUUUUCUCCAGGAAGGUUAGUGGGGAGGAAAGAAGAAGUGAGUUUGACUUGUCAUGAAUUACUUUUCUUCUGCCUCCUCUUCUAAGACCAUGGAGUUUUCCUUAGGACCCUUUCCUGGCUGUCCCAUGUGGGGAAGCCCAGGGUGAUGGUGCUGCAGGGCUCCUGGAGAGGUCAGUGAUACCCCACAUGUGCCUGGGCCAGUGCUGGGCUGAGAGCAGCUGGGCCUGCAGCUCUCCCAGCCCAGCCACUUGUCCCAGCCAGCCCCACUGUCCCACUGCCCACCACAGCCAGGUGAAACUGUGCUCCAAAAAGGAGUCAGGCUGCUCCAAAAGAGGAUUGAUUUACCAGCAGAUCAGUGGCUGUUUGAGGCCGCACCUCAAGCCUCCAGCCUUCUCUGUCCCUACAUCCAUGCCCUCAUCUGAUGCCUCUUGUCCAACCCACAGUGGUGUUUUCCUCCCCAGACUGGUGGCAGGGUCUUGAGAUGCCUCCAGAAGGAACUAGGUGUUCCCAAAUGUAACUGAGUGUCAAGGCACAUCCUACAGCUCCUCCUUCCCAAUCCAGCAUGUGUCCCACCCUGACUUAACUCCAAACCUGAGACUUCCACCUUCCUACAUCCUCUCUCACUUUUUAUUACAGACAAGUCUGGUGCGAUGGAAAAUGCAACAUAAACCAAAGUACAACGGUACAGGGCUUGCAGAAACUCCACAGUGAAGUGCCCCCUUUCUUUUCAGGGGUCAGAGCUGAGAAAUGGUCAUGAGCUCUUUUUUUUCCUCAGAAGGGGAUGAAUCCACAGCUUGUCCACCCUGGACAGCAGCAGGGCUGGGCUGGGCUCAGAGCAGUUUGUGUAGAGAGAACAUUGUUCUCCAACACCCCUGGGGCUGGUGGUUCCCAAAAACAAGACAGACCAGUGAUGGUUUAUGGUCUCCCCAAAGUGCCAGUGACAGAGAGGGGUUCCAAGGCCCCAGGGAAAGCUUUGCAAACCCAGCAGGGAUGCUCUUGGCACAGCAAAGUGCUUUGACACCACAGCCCAGUUUUUUUUUUUCCUUGUUUUCCUAAAGAAGGGAGAUUUAUGUGAGUAAUCCAGCCAGUUUAAACCCAAAUGACGCUGAGUAGAAGAGCCCUCGAGGAGAUUUUAUUCCCUCCAGAUUUGCAGGGGAAAAACUACCCCUGCCCUUGGGACUGUGGCACUGAGGGGCCCCUCCCUGUGCUUGGCAGGAUGCAGGACAGAGAAUCACUGGUGCAAAAAUGGCCUGAGUUGUGCCUCUCCACCCUGAAGGAUGUGCCUGAGGGUCCUGGGGCCAUCCAGAGGGACCUGGACAAGCUUGGAAAGUGGGCCAUGGGAAUCUCAUGAGGUUCAACAAAGCCAGGUGCUGCACCUGGGUGGGGGCAAUGCCUGUUAUCAAUCCAGGUACAAGACAGACAUGAACCUGUAGAAAUGGGUCUAGAGAAGGGCCAUGAAAAAGAUCAGAGGGCUCCUCUAGCAGCUCUGCUCUGGAGGCAGCCUAGGACAGCUGGGGCUGUCCAGCCUGGAGAUGAGAAGGCUCCAGGAAGACCUUUCCAGUGCCUAAAAAGGGCAUAUAGGAAAGAUGAGAACAGACUUUUUAGCAGGGUCUGUAGUGAUGGUUCAAGGGGCAAUGGCUUUAAAUUGAAAGAUGGUCAAUUUAGAUUCAAUUUUAGUAAGGAGUUGUUUUUUUUUUACAGUGAGGGUGGUAAAACACCAGCACCCAGCUGCCCAGAGAAUUGGUGGAUGCCUCAUUCUUGGAAACAUUCAAGACCAGGUUGGAUUGGGCUCUGAUCAAUGUGGUUUAGUGGAGUCUGGACUAGAUUACUUUUUAAGGUCCCUUCCAACCCAAACCAUUUUAUGAUUCAAUGAUCCAUGGAAGCUACUCUACCACCUGCCUCUACCCAGCCUCCAUGCAGCUAUUCUCAUCCAUGCCACACUGGCUUUUAAAGCCCCUCCUGGUCUCCUGUGCCAGGCUGGAUCAAGGCUUGUGGAGGGCUGGAUGCUGGGCACCGCCUCUCUUUGCUGUCCACAGAACACUGACUUCCAUAAAUCCCAUUUGCAGCUAUUUUUCAGGAGGGGACAGUGACACUGGAGUAAACCACAAGACCAGGUGGUUUUUCACCCAAGCUGUCUCUCAAACCAAAUUGGUGUUCCAGGCCAGUUGUCACUGCAAGUCUGUUCUGGACAGUGUGUCUGAACCUCUCCAUGGUUUAACAGAGGAGACCUCAUGGCAUCUCCUUUCACCUUCAGCAGGACAGGGAGGCCGGGACAACCUCUGCUUCCCAACAGGAGGAUGCAGAGGAAAUGCUCCAUUCGUUAGGGCUCAUUCCCCAUCCAGGGCCGAUGGCUUACAGCCAUCAGUAGAUGAUGGGACCAGGCAAGCCUGGCCAUGUGCAAUGGGAGGAGGAGAACUGAAAGGGUAGGACGCUUGGAUUCAUCGCUCUGGGUUGUCAUCUCCCCCCUGGAUUUAUCACCCAUGGCUAAUGAGAGGCAGCCAGCGCUGUGUGAUGUGGACGAGCCCCGGCUCGGCGCUCGCAGGCAGGGAGGGCAGGGUUUGCCACGAUCUGGCAAAGGGCUCUCGGAUGCUCCAGCUCAGCUCGUGUCCUCAGGAGUUCUCGGGCUGAGCCGGGGGUGGUGGGGAAAUGUGAAGGGCAGCAAAAGCGAGACAGGCUCUGCUGGGGCAAGCACAGCCCUGAGCCAAGCUUUCCUUCUGGCAGCUGGCACCAGGCAUUCAGGGGAUUAUAUUUUCUUUCUUUCUUUCUUUCUUUCCUCCUUUUAUUUAUCUAUCUAUCUAUCUAUCUGUCUAUCUAUCUAUCUAUCUAUCUAUCUAUCUAUCUAUCUAUCUAUCUAUCUAUUUUCCUCCUCAAGUGUCUUGUAUGGGCCCUUCAGGGGAGAAGAUUAUUUAAAUCUGACGUGUCCCCUCUGGUCCUUCUAAUGUUGCCAACCCCACUGCGGAUGCUUUUCCACCUUCGCUCAAUGUUCCAUCUGCCAGGAGCUGCGGAUCCCACCCUCCACUGAGCCAACCCCCAGGCCCUUCUUGGCUGGAGGAAGAGGAAGCCGCCCACACCACCCCGAGAAUCCCCACAUUGUCUUCCUCACUCCUGGGAAGCCCCGGUGACAGAGCCAGGGCUGCGACUGAGCCUCAGGAGGGAGGGGAGGAAUCUCGGACAGGAUGCGAGGAGCGGCAAGGACCCGCAGCACGGGUUUGGUUUGGCAGCCCCGUUCAGACAAUAAAAGGUCAGGCUGCAGAGAAGCUUGUUUUGUUGUUGGUUUUUAUUUUAUUUUGUUUUAUUUCCCUGGCUCUUAUUCAAGGCUGUGUCCUUAAGGACGGGGAUUCUCUACGCUGGUGGCAGGCUGAGAGCCCGGGUGGGCGGCUGGGUCUUUGUCUGGCGGGGCUUUUAGUGUGCAAAUGAUUUUGCUGGAGCACAGGCUGCGAGAGGAGGAGGCUGGGCUGGGUGUGAGCUCAGGGCAAGGAGAUGAAACUCUGCAGCAGGAUUUGGUUUGGUUCAAUAUCUGAAGUAUCUUCUUUUUCACAGUGAAGUUUUUUAGAGGUUUCCAGGGGACCCAGAAGAUUAGGAAUUGAAGCACAUGCUGGGGAGGAAGCUGCAUAUGUGGAAUAAAAUGAGGGCAAACAGCCCCAGGCAGAGCCUGAGAUGAGGCAACAGGAGGGUCUGUAUGGAAAUGGUCACAAAGGGUUUGACAGUGUGCUGCAGUGGUCUCAGCAGAUCAGCUGCUUCACCUUUGAUUUUGGGUAGGAUUUGACGUAUUUGAAAUGGUGCUGCUGCUUCCUAAUCUUUUUGGGGCAGGGACAGUCUCCUAAAGCUGUGCAUCCUAAAGCUGUGCACCUUCCGCUGAAUCACUGUCCCUGGAAGUGUUCAAAAGACACAUGGGGACAUGGUUUAGUGGUGAACAAAAUGGUGCUGGGUUAAUGAUCUUAGAGGUUUUUUCCAACCUUAAUAAUUCUGUGAUUCUGUAAUCACACCCAGCCUGAUCCACAGCCCAAGGGUCAAAGACCAGAGCACUCUGCUAUCGUAUACAAAGGGGUUUGCAGGGUCACUGUGGCUGUGCCCCUCCUCCAGCUCAGGGAGGUGAGUUCAGGUCUCACCUGGUGUAUCCUGCCAGGCUCCCCACAGCCAUCUCCUCUCCCUGGCCACUGUGAAAAGAGACACAAUGAACCCUCAUAAGCUUAGAGGCUGCCAUAAUAUCUGUCUUCUAUCUGAGUUUCAUACAAACUUCAGGACAAAGGAAACCGGUUUUUGGAUGUAGAACAGCUGCCUCAGGCUCAACCCAAG